rnacentral:rRNA from 1 species
CGUAGGGGGCAAGCGUUGUCCGGAUUUACUGGGCGUAAAGAGCGUAUAGGCGGCCGCACAGGUCCGUUGUGAAAACUGGAGGCUUAACCUCCAGACGUCGACGGAAACCGUGCGGCUAGAGUCCGGAAGAGGAGAGUGGAAUUCCUGGUGUAGCGGUGAAAUGCGCAGAUAUCAGGAAGAACACCAAUGGCGAAGGCAGCUCUCUGGGAUGGUACUGACGCUGAGACGCGAAAGCGUGGGGAGCGAACAGGAUUAGAUACCCUGGUAGUCCACGCCGUAAACGAUGGGUGCUAGGUGUGGGAGGUGUCGACUCCUUCCGUGCCGUAGCUAACGCAUUAAGCACCCCGCCUGGGGAGUACGGCCGCAAGGCUA